rnacentral:rRNA from 1 species
AACGAACGCUGGCGGCAGGCCUAACACAUGCAAGUCGAACGAGAAAGUCCUUCGGGAUGAGUACAGUGGCGCACGGGUGAGUAACGCGUGGGAAUGUACCCUUUAGUACGGAAUAACCCCGGGAAACUGGGAUUAGUACCGUAUACGCCCUUCGGGGGAAAGAUUUAUCGCUAAAGGAUCAGCCCGCGUAAGAUUAGAUAGUUGGUGGGGUAACGGCCUACCAAGUCUACGAUCUUUAGCUGGUCUGAGAGGAUGAUCAGCCACACUGGAACUGAGACACGGUCCAGACUCCUACGGGAGGCAGCAGUGGGGAAUAUUGGACAAUGGGCGAAAGCCUGAUCCAGCCAUGCCGCGUGAGUGAUAAGGCCUUAGGGUUGUAAAACUCUUUCGUCGGUGAAGAUAAUGACGGUAACCGAAAAAGAAGCCCCGGCUAACUUCAUGCCAGCCGCCGCCGUAA